GUUGACGCUUUAUAUGUUGGUUUGAAAGCCUCGGGCUGAUUGGACAUAUAAAUGUCAUAAAGCUCCGCCUAUUUAAUAUGCUUUUAUCCUAAACUCAGGUGUGCAUGUUUAGAUUUUUACCUGUCGAGUUAAAUUUCAACACCUUAACGGUAUAAGCAUUCAAUCUUGAUGUCUUAAGGAUUACAUUUUGAGAAAACUUUAAAGAUGGCAUAUGGAUCUCAAUAUAGAAUCUAAAACGG
rnacentral:lncRNA from 1 species